rnacentral:lncRNA from 1 species
CUGGUUAUGACAUGGAGGAGGAGACUGUGGAUCAAAUCCUCUUUAUUUGCCCUAAAGCUUGAUGGGUAUGGAGGAUGGGGGGCUUUUCUCAGUGACUGCUACUCUCGUGGAGCCAGCUCAAGUCUUUUUGGAGGUUCUCCAAAGGAGUAUGGACUCUGAUUUAUCUAGGGCCAUGGGAAUCAGAGUUGUUUGUAUUAUUUGUUACAUCUGGUAGAUUAGGAACUGGAGCAUUUUUUGAGGUGACUUGGCAGCGACGAGACUCACCUUGGAGAGG